rnacentral:rRNA from 1 species
GAUGAACGCUGGCGGCGUGCCUAAUACAUGCAAGUCGAGCGAACGGACGAGAAGCUUGCUUCUCUGAUGUUAGCGGCGGACGGGUGAGUAACACGUGGAUAACCUACCUAUAAGACUGGGAUAACUUCGGGAAACCGGAGCUAAUACCGGAUAAUAUUUUGAACCGCAUGGUUCAAAAGUGAAAGACGGUCUUGCUGUCACUUAUAGAUGGAUCCGCGCUGCAUUAGCUAGUUGGUAAGGUAACGGCUUACCAAGGCAACGAUGCAUAGCCGACCUGAGAGGGUGAUCGGCCACACUGGAACUGAGACACGGUCCAGACUCCUACGGGAGGCAGCAGUAGGGAAUCUUCCGCAAUGGGCGAAAGCCUGACGGAGCAACGCCGCGUGAGUGAUGAAGGUCUUCGGAUCGUAAAACUCUGUUAUUAGGGAAGAACAUAUGUGUAAGUAACUGUGCACAUCUUGACGGUACCUAAUCAGAAAGCCACGGCUAACUACGUGCCAGCAGCCGCGGUAAUACGUAGGUGGCAAGCGUUAUCCGGAAUUAUUGGGCGUAAAGCGCGCGUAGGCGGUUUUUUAAGUCUGAUGUGAAAGCCCACGGCUCAACCGUGGAGGGUCAUUGGAAACUGGAAAACUUGAGUGCAGAAGAGGAAAGUGGAAUUCCAUGUGUAGCGGUGAAAUGCGCAGAGAUAUGGAGGAACACCAGUGGCGAAGGCGACUUUCUGGUCUGUAACUGACGCUGAUGUGCGAAAGCGUGGGGAUCAAACAGGAUUAGAUACCCUGGUAGUCCACGCCGUAAACGAUGAGUGCUAAGUGUUAGGGGGUUUCCGCCCCUUAGUGCUGCAGCUAACGCAUUAAGCACUCCGCCUGGGGAGUACGACCGCAAGGUUGAAACUCAAAGGAAUUGACGGGGACCCGCACAAGCGGUGGAACAUGUGGUUUAAUUCGAAGCAACGCGAAGAACCUUACCAAAUCUUGACAUCCUUUGACAACUCUAGAGAUAGAGCUUUCCCCUUCGGGGGACAAAGUGACAGGUGGUGCAUGGUUGUCGUCAGCUCGUGUCGUGAGAUGUUGGGUUAAGUCCCGCAACGAGCGCAACCCUUAAGCUUAGUUGCCAUCAUUAAGUUGGGCACUCUAAGUUGACUGCCGGUGACAAACCGGAGGAAGGUGGGGAUGACGUCAAAUCAUCAUGCCCCUUAUGGUUUGGGCUACACACGUGCUACAAUGGACAAUACAAAGGGCAGCGAAACCGCGAGGUCAAGCAAAUCCCAUAAAGUUGUUCUCAGUUCGGAUUGUAGUCUGCAACUCGACUACAUGAAGCUGGAAUCGCUAGUAAUCGUAGAUCAGCAUGCUACGGUGAAUACGUUCCCGGGUCU